rnacentral:rRNA from 1 species
GACGGAAGGUGCAAGCGUUGCUCGGAAUCACUGGGCGUAAAGGGUGCGUAGGCGGCUUGGUAAGUUGGGUGUGAAAGCCCCGGGCUCAGCCCGGGAAGGGCACUCGAAACUGCCGAGCUGGAGUGCCGGAGGGGAGAGUGGAAUUCCUGGUGUAGCGGUGAAAUGCGCAGAUAUCAGGAAGAACACCAAUGGCGAAGGCAGCUCUCUGGGACGGUACUGACACUGAGACGCGAAAGCGUGGGGAGCGAACAGG